rnacentral:lncRNA from 1 species
AGCAAGACUCUUUGUGUCACGACCCCACCUCCCCCUGAGGCAAACCACAGGGUUCGGCGGGCCGCCUGCCCAGCUCUCACCAGGACUCAGUCGUUCACUACAAUCCUCAAUUGAAUUACAAGAAUAAACCUCAAAUAUUACAAUAUAAAUCUCCAAUAUACAUCAAAGGUUCCCAAACUUUACAUAUCAAAAGCGAAGCGUCCACGCUUCCACUGCGCCACUCUGAUCCUUGAUACCAACUAUUAUACAGGAGGAAGUCCAAAGCUAGACUAUUACACAUCCAAUCAAUUCUAAACAUUCAAUACAAUCCCAAUAUGAAAGAUUACACAAAAGGAAAUCCAAAUUCAAUCCAUACAUGAGAUAAUCCAUGAAAAACACUACAAGCCACUCCUUCGCCUUGAACCCUGUGGAGGGGAAUAAAACAUUUUGGGGUGAACUAGAAGCUCAGCGAGUAACCAGUAAAAUCAGUUAUCAAAUCAGUUUCACAAUCGUUCAUUUCAAUAAUGUCAUUUCAAUAUGGAGUAUCAAUAAUUCAAGAAACAUUUACAAUGGAAAGCGAUAGUAACAUUCAUGAAAAGGAUACGUUCGUUCUCCUGUCAUUUCAUUUCAUUUGGUUUCAUUCGUGCAUUCAUUCACCCCGUCCCUGACUUUUGGCCAGGCUCCACCAACCUACAAGGUAAUACUCGAGUAUACCGAAACGUUCACCCAAGUUCCUAGUCGCCCGACCGAGUCCGCUUCUGGAUCGAGACGACCGGUAACAAGGGGCAAUGGCCAGUUCAGCCCAAAAGGCUUACAUUCAUGCGCAAGUAGCAUUUAAUCAUUAAUCAUUGAAAAUUUCAUAUUUAUUUAGGUCGAGUGCGAUAAAGUACACACUCGCCUAGAAAACUCGUUUUAACAAUCAUUGAAAGCAAAAUCAAUAAUAACAAGACACUGAUAUGCAAGCACGCGUGAUAUGCAAGAAAACAGUUCCAAAAGUAACUUUGAAAACAGUUCAAAAGUAAAUAAUGCAAGAAAUGGUUAAUAAAUAAUUUUAGAAAUAGUUUGAGGUCACUCACCUCCACGGCUCUGAAACCAUCCAUCAUAUUGCAUUACUUCACUCAAGUCCAAGCCCUAAAGCACAAACGCAAAGCAAUCAAGCCCAUUCCAAAUUCGGACAGCAUUUCCCCUGAAUUUGCUAACUUUUCCAGCCAUCACGGCUUCAUUAUAUCCUCAGCCAGUCCCAAAGGUACACACACAACAACAAGUUCAUCCAAUAGCCAUUCAGCAAGCUCCAAGUAGUACUAGUACAAGUCAAGCUAGGGAAAAGUCCGGAAAUGAAAGUUUAGCUCAAACCAGAAAAACAGUUUUGACGUCAUUUUGCGGUAAUGGUACCAAAGGUACUACGAGUAUCGGAUGGAGGUCCAAGACCCACCGUUUCGAAGCUAAGAACCAGGGCUACAACAAUGUAUAAGAUCACUCAGUCCAAAUCCCAGCACAACUAAGUCAAAUAUGCCAAAUAACAAACCAGAACCGUAAUUGCAGGUUUACAAAUUACACUAUGUUGUAAUCAGUACAACUCAGUCUAAACAGGUCCAAAUGCAGAAAUUCCAAAGGCAUAUGGUAGCUAGGGCAUCAAGCUACAUUUCAUCAGAAGACCUCAACAACCAAAUCCAAAGCAAUUCCAGUCAAAACAACCCAUUUCAGACGCAGUUCUAACAUCCUGAUGAACCCAGAACAGCAAUAGUAAUUUCGGGUUAUCUCAUUCUACACUACUCCGAUUGACCUGAAAUUUUGUAGACACAUUUAAAAUAUUAUUCCCUACAACUUUCAUGUUUUAAGCCAAGGCCAAUUCGGCCUGUAUCUAGGACCAAAAAUUUCGGACAGAAUGAAGAACCAAGAACCCUAAUUUUCCAGAUUUCUUCCAAAACAGAAUUUACUUGCAAUCUUCCACUUUUUCCACCUUCUAGAAUCAUUAUAUACCAUUUCCAAUCAUCAUAGAUAGCCACACAAUCAUGCUUAUAUUAAAACAGAAAAAUCCCCAAAAAUAAUAAAACUUCAUCAUUCAACCAAAACUCAAGAUUUAAUCCAUAAAAUUGCAUCUCAUACAACCUCUAAGCAUGAUUUAAGCAUCAAUUAAGGGAGGAGGGUGGUUCUUCACAACUUACCUUGAACACAAGAGAGAGAGAGCUAUUGGUCACCUUAACUUUCCAAACAACUCCACCAAACAACUCACAAACACUAAGUGAAGAGGUUUUAUGGAGUAAAACUAAAAUUAAACGGUUAAAAGUGAAGAUUAAGCAAGCUUGGAGCAAAGAAAUUGGAGAGCUUUUCUUCCCUUAUUGCUUGAAGGCGGUCAGCCAUAUGAAGCUUAGAAAUG